CAGCCGCCGCGGUAAUACGUAAGUGGCAAGCGUUGUCCGGAAUUAUUGGGCGUAAAGGGCUCGCAGGCGGUUUCUUAAGUCUGAUGUGAAAGCCCCCGGCUCAACCGGGGAGGGUCAUUGGAAACUGGGAAACUUGAGUGCAGAAGGGGAGAGUGGAAUUCCACGUGUAGCGGUGAAAUGCGUAGAGAUGUGGAGGAACACCAGUGGCGAAGGCGACUCUCUGGUCUGUAACUGACGCUGAGGAGCGAAAGCGUGGGGAGCGAACAGGAUUAGAUACCCCUGUAGUCCCUGUCUCUUAUAC
rnacentral:rRNA from 1 species